rnacentral:lncRNA from 1 species
GCGAAUACGCAGAAGCUUUCCUCCUUUUCGCUAUCUCCUGAGCCUCGAGUUUUAACCGAUCCAGAAGCUCGUCUCUUCCGUAUACUUUAACGGAAGGAUCAUCUGUGUUGUGUGAGGUUUCAGGUGAUGUCGUCCACUUUUCUUUUAAGGGUUUGCCUUCUAAGGUAGCAGUAGCAGCUUUGGCUGACCAGAAGACGAAUAAAAUGUUGUUGCGGGUGAAGUAGUCCGCCCACUUCUCCCUGUGUUAACAAUCCAAAUUGGUUAGCCAAAAUAAAAAGAGGUUAGAGAAAAAGAGGCAAGGGGCAAGUUUACCUGACGUAAGGAGGUAAGAGAUCCGCCUUGUUUACAAGAAGCAUUGUUUCUUUAUGCUCAUCAAUUUCUCGUGCAUAUGCCUGUAAAUGAUUGGUGGAUCAAUGAAAACUCUAUUAAGAGAAAGCUGCAAGUUGGCAGAGAGAGAGAGAGAGAGAGAGAGAGUUACCUCAAGAUCAGGGCAACGGUAAAACAGAGGAUCUCUAGCAUCAACAACCAUAACAAUCUGAAAGAGAAGUAAAAAAAGAGCCAAUUAUAUUCCGAAAUGAACUUAACCCAUUCAAAUGGGCUCUAGGAGGCGAAAAUGGCAUACCAAAUCACUUCGUUCAAGAACUCGCCAAAGUUGUCUCCAUAUGUCAAGGUUCUUCUCGAAUGGUGUCAGCACAAGCUUUUCAUUUUCCUCGAGGCUGAUUGAAUGCAGGAAAACAAAUAGGUAUGCUUUAAGUGUAUAUCACCAUGUCCCCAAGGAGAAUUGCACAUAAUAAAAUCAAACCACGCAUCUAAAACAGCAGCAAAAUAACAUCUUGAAUGAGCUAUAACUGUUUUGUUACUCUAUUCCAAAAUAUUGAACUUACAAAUGCAUUCCCAAAGAAGUUCAGAUUCUCAAAGGCUAUUUAGAGAUAAGAACACAAACUCAUAGCAUAAGAGCCAAAUUUAUCCACAAUAAUAACAAACAAACAAAAAAAAUCAUUCUCAACUAAAGCAAUCAUGGUUAUAGCGAUGGCUAAAAGAUUGCAGUUUUGUAUCUCAUUUGUAUACACUGAUGCAAGUAUGAAUUCUUCACAACUUUCUCAUCCUUUUAACCAUUCGUUUUCUUAAUACACAAACAUUGUAGCAAAGCAUUUGAACACUUUGCAUAUGAUUAAUCCCAAAUUCUACUAACAACAACAACAACGAAGAAGAAGAAGAAGAUAGAGAACCCUUUAGAUGAGGUGAAAACAGAACAAACCUGACAAGUUUGCGGCGCCAAGAGAGAAAAGCUUGUUUUUCAUUAGCAUCAAGUUGUUCCACAUUCAUUUUAGGCGUCCAAGGAGGUCUGAAUAUUAACAAAUAGAACAUCACUAAACCGAACAGACUCUAUAUUGACUCCAUAACAACAACCCAAAGAAGCAAAAGAGACCUUCUAGGAACUUGAAGACUACUAGCAUGUAAAGCCUCCUCUCUCAUCCGCUGCUCUUUCCACUCUUUAGCCGUUACACCACUCGAGCUCGAACCUGCGUCCCUGUUUUUCACCAAAACGAAAGAAGAAGAUCAACAACAACACACUAGAGAGAAAGGAUUCAAAAUCGAUCUUACAUAUUGAUGGGGAGAGGCGUUGCGGAUUCGUGAUGAAUAGCGUAAAGACGCUCAGCUUCCUCGGCUUGCUCGAUGAUGGCGUCGAUGUCGCUGACCUCCGUGACGGAUUCGAGAACCUUCUUGUUUUGGGACUUGUAGUGUUUCCCUUUAUCCUUGGUUUCCUGGAUCGCGUGGUUGUGGUGCUUCACUAGGGAUCGGCCUAGAGAUGUCUUCUCGUUCUUCCCCAUUUUCGGAUUUUUGGCGGAGAUUGGAGGAAAGAUUGAUUGAACGAUCUUUUUGUGUGUUUCUCGAAAGAGAUAUUUCAAUGUUCGUAAAGGCUCGUCGUGUGAAGCCGACGGAUGUAGCCGCCGUGUGGGGCGAAAUUUAAUAAAAAAAGUAAAAUGUAGGGUUCGAAGGGUAAUUACUCAAUACUGCAAACGGUUUACUUACCCUUGUUGUUCGGGUUUAUUUCAAUUGUCCGGUUUAAUCAUCUCGUUUUGCAAUUCCGGUCUGUUUGAUUGGAGCAGUGCAAUGUGUUUGUGGUGCUUCACUAGGGUCUCUUCAUCUCUUUCUCUCUAUCAUCAUUAUCUUUAUUUCUUUUAAGCCAUCUAAUUAAUUUUUGGUUUAUCCAUCUUUGAAAACUUCGGUGAGUUUUUAGAUCGGUUUAAAUCGUCCUUAGAGUUGCUGCUAUUUCAGUCUCAGAACAUAGACAUGUUUGUGUCUUACAAUUGUCCCGUGGGAUUGUGGCUCAUGCUAUGCAUAUUUUUAUGAUUUUAGAGAAUAGAGUAGGUAUUGAGAGAUUAAAGGUAGAUUAGAGAAGGUUAAUGGGAGAUUUGUAGACAGAUUAGGUAGUAAUUAUGUUUAAGAGUAUUUAAGAAUCAUCAUGAACAAGAGAGUUUAAAGAGAUAAUCUCAUAAUUCUUAAUUAUUAAUCUGAUCAGAGUUUACAAUAUAUAUGAAGAGGCAACAAUAGGAUGAGGGUUUCAUAAAGUAGCACUAUUACCAAAGAUAAGAUUUGCUUUAAUUCAAACUUUUCAAUGAGCUUCUUCCUUGUGCAUAAAGCUCCUUUUGCUUUAUCCAGCUCUUCUCCAGCCUGUCACACGCGCCUCCUCUUCCCUUGCAACGGACUGAUGCCUUAGCUAAGGGAAUAGGGCUUCUCUUCUUCUUCUUCCAAAGUUACCCGGGUAACUAGUAUAACUAGUAUACUAGUAAGUUACUCGGGUAACUAGUAUUACUACGGCCUCUUCAUCAUACCCAACUCCUCAUGUCUUUCUCUUCCUAUAUAUUGAUCUCAUCUCAACACUCCCCCCCCCAAGCUCAGCUUUGUGAAAGUCUAAGCUUGGAUAGCCAUGAGAUCUUCCUCAUUAAAAACCUCACCAAGGAAAACCCAUUGGGACAAAACCUUGAUGAGGGAAAAAGAGUAAAGACCUCAUGACUUAGGGGAUCAGCUCCUUCUCUUCCCAAGAUCUAUGAGUUCUAAUCUGAUGUGAAUGGACUCCAUAGUCUUUUGUCUUGCAUGCUAAUUCCCUAAAACACGUGUUGGCUUCCUCUACGUGGUAAGUUUUGUGGCUCAUUAAAAUACCUACCAUGCUAAAAAUGACGAUACAUAAACUUAGGGAAGUAACUAAAUUUCUCCAAAGUCCAAAGCUAUGAAAAUAGAGGUGAAAAUGCAAACAUUAAGAUCGUGAUCUUGCUUGAAAAAGACAAGAAACCUUGCAUGUGCACAUUGAUCAAUCAAUGCACGAGUAAUGCUGAAGGAUGAAAAGGUCAAAAGGUUUAGAAGAUCAACACCUAAGAAACACACAUUCGGUUGGUUGACAACGUUUAUAAACGAAACUAGUCAAAGCUGCUAUGCGUACGAGUAAGCGAUCUAUAUAUAUAUUAGCGAUCUAUAUUAUGUCAAUCGCACAAAGACUUUGUGACCAGCAUCGACCUGGAAAAGUCUCGAUAAUUUCACAAGGACACAACAUAUAACACUUCCACAAUAAGAAUCCAACACUGUUAUUUUCAGGCAUUUUUGAUCAAUACAUUGAAACCGAUUAGUUUUUCCUCAGUGGCUGCUUCUUGUGCUGUUUAUGCGAGUCUACUUGUUUCUUCUUGGAAGACCCAAGCCCAUUUGCAAGAUCAAACGAGCUCAAAUCCUCUAAAACUUGAUCAAGCCCAAGCCCACGAGCUUCUUCACUAACCUCAGACACUGAACCACCAUCUCCAGUUUCGCCCGUCUCGUUUUCAUCAUCUUCGGGAGGCAUUGCAAAAUGUGGAAGCUUACCUUCAAUGUAGUCUUUCAAAAUCUGCCUAGCAGCUCUCGUCUCAUCAGGCAGUCCACUAGCGGCAACGUACCCACGAGACAGGCAGUAAGUUCUAAGAAGCUCCGAGGCAAGAGGUGGACGGAACCGAGACUCAUAGCUUUUGGGUUUAGGCAAAGAGAUGUUGUACACUCCCUCGAUAACAUCUCGAGGAACACGUUCAGCCACAACCUUAACAGCUUCGCGGUGCUCCGUCAUCCUGUCUAUCGGAAGCACUCCGCAAGCGAUCAUUUCGUAUCUCGAACUCGAGAACGAAGGGAAGACCAGACCGGGGCAAUCGCAGAGCAUCAGCUCCUCGGAGAUGAUCAAUGUCUGGAAGUGCUUUGUCUUCCCUGGGGUGGAUGUGACGCCUGUCCGCUUCUGACCCACCAGUGCAUUGAUCGUUGAACUCUUCCCCACGUUAGGGUACCCAACGAAGCCGACCACAACACGUUCUCGGUGCGAAUACGCAGAAGCUUUCCUCCUUUUCGCUAUCUCCUGAGCCUCGAGUUUUAACCGAUCCAGAAGCUCGUCUCUUCCGUAUACUUUAACGGAAGGAUCAUCUGUGUUGUGUGAGGUUUCAGGUGAUGUCGUCCACUUUUCUUUUAAGGGUUUGCCUUCUAAGGUAGCAGUAGCAGCUUUGGCUGACCAGAAGACGAAUAAAAUGUUGUUGCGGGUGAAGUAGUCCGCCCACUUCUCCCUGUGUUAACAAUCCA